rnacentral:sRNA from 1 species
GGCUGGUCCAAUGGCAGUGGGUUAUCAGAACUUAUUAACAUUAGAGUCACUCGAUGUGUUUCUGACUCACUCAUUUAUUGGAUAACUCAA